rnacentral:lncRNA from 1 species
GGCUAGGUUUUUUCGAUUUUUUUUUCCUGCGCCCUCAGAGCUUCUCAGAUUUUUUGGCCAACUAGAGGCGAAUAGGGGCGAAUUGGACUCACUCCGAUCAACUGAUCGGCGUGGGAUGAGUUUGGCAGUUUCUCGGUGAAACUGAUCGAUUGAGUUUAGAGAUGAGCCCCCGUUUACCGUGCAGCGAAGCGCACCCACAGGCCACCUUGUUCCCCACAGUUUUUUCUGGUCUGGUGCCGACCACCUCCUCACGCGCGCAAAAGCUGCGACCUCGGAUGCGCACUAAACCGCGUGAUAUCACGAUCAUCGACUAGAGGGAUGCUAGUGUGCGAGUUUGAUGCGUUUUUGGCGUAAAAGAGCUCACGAGUGUGAGUGUGUGGAGAUUACAAAAAUAGGGAUCUGUGCGGACUCUUCUAUUUUCCGCCCCACGAGCGUGCGCGCACGUCCAAUUUUUGUGGUGGGGUAGAAAGUUCGAAUUCUUACUUUCUUCUUGAACACUUUGACACACCUGCGACUGCGCAGGAGGCGGAGAGAAUUCUAAUUGAAAUGGCUCCACUAGUGAUCUGAAAAGGGUUCCCAGCUUAAAGCUGCGCCAUCCGCCCACUGUUGAGUUAAGAUGUCAGUUUGUCGUACUUAAAAAAAAGAGUUGGUCAAGAAAACCUUGACAAGCUGUCGCCGUUUACUAACACUCUCAUCAGCAGGGCAAGGUGGGUCAUAUUUCUUCAGUAUUUCAGCAUACUCCAGGCCCAUCUCAAAGUCUUCUAUGACUUCAUCUGAUAUAUCCUUUUCCGAGACCCAACUGGGUGGCAUCUCUGAUAUAUUACGUUCAUAAAUACAGAUACAAGACACAAUGCAAAAAUAGGAACUAAACUUGCCAUCUAACCACUCAAUAAGAUAUUCCUUUUGCUCAUUUUCUGUUAAGCGGCAAGCUUUAAUGGCAGCAGGAGGUACCUCUUCAAAAACGAAAUCUUCCAGCGUCCUUGUAAUAGAUUCCAUUAUAGAACGACGGGCAUAUGUCACAGUAGUUGCCGGUGUGCUUAACAAGAGUCCUUCAAUGAGGUCAAGAGGCUGUCGGAAAAUGCUCAGUGGGAAACCAUUAGUUGCACAAAAAGUGAGAAACGCACUGAUCGUCCGGAAAUAUCUUGCAACUCAGGGUCUGCUCCAGACUUCACCAAUGUACUGACAAUAUCCUCGUGCAAGUAACCUGCUGCGAUAUGAAGUGGAGUAAAACAGUCUUUGUCCUGCAGGAAGCAGAGUCAACGAACACGGUCGGGAUAAACAAACUACAUUGCUUGCCUUAGCAUCAACUUCAGCACCAUACGCUAGAAGUGCGC